rnacentral:rRNA from 1 species
CUUACCAGCCCUUGACAUGUCCUCUGUGGACUCCAGAGACGGAGUCCUUCACUUCGGGUGGGAGGAACACAGGUGCUGCAUGGCUGUCGUCAGCUCGUGUCGUGAGAUGUUGGGUUAAGUCCCGCAACGAGCGCAACCCUCGGCCUUAGUUGCCAUCAUUUAGUUGGGCACUCUAAGGCGACUGCCGGUGAUAAGCCGGAGGAAGGUGGGGAUGACGUCAAGUCCUCAUGGCCCUUACGGGCUGGGCUACACACGUGCUACAAUGGCGGUGACAGAGGGAUGCAAAGGUGCAAACCUUCGCAAAUCUCAAAAAGCCGUCUCAGUUCGGAUUGGGGUCUGCAACUCGACCCCAUGAAGCUGGAAUCGCUAGUAAUCGCGGAUCAGCACGCCGCGGUGAAUACGUUCCCGGGCCUUGUACACACCGCCCGUCACACCAUGGGAGUUGGGUUUACCUUAAGACGGUGCGCUAACCCGCAAGGGGAGCAGCCGGCCACGGUAGGCUCAGCGACUGGGGUGAAGUCGUAACAAGGUAACCAAGGG